UGGGCGCAAGCCUGAUGCAGCGACGCCGCGUGAGGGAUGGAGGCCUUCGGGUUGUAAACCUCUUUCGCUCAUGGUCAAGCCGCAGCUUUGGGUUGUGGUGAGGGUAGUGGGUAAAGAAGCGCCGGCUAACUACGUGCCAGCAGCCGCGGUAAU
rnacentral:rRNA from 1 species